GAUGCGAUCUCUUCAGCGUGAGAAGAAACGGGAUGCUGGGAGGGAACGGCGGCAGCGAUCGACGACGACGACGAGCGGUCUCCAGAACUGACCUGAGCUAGUGUGAUCAGUCUGCCUGCCUCUGUGAUCCCCCGCAGCACUGGCUGGAAGUCCACCGCAUGUCAGUGAGGAGCUGCUGCAGAAGGAAGAAGAAGAAGCGGCGUGGGGACCUGGGAGGCAGGAGCAAGCAAGAAGAGGAAGCGGAAGCGUGCAGAUGCGGGGGGGAAGGAGAGAGGCUCCCUGGGCAAAGCACCUGUCCCGUUAGCAGGGGCACAGUCACGUUUGAGUUGAGAGCUGCCGGCGCCUUUGGUGACCAGGCUGGCGUUGUGCUGGGCGACCUCCCCGUAAGCGGGGCUCGGGUCUUUGCUGUAGUUGGCCUUUUGCCUUGCUGCUCCUUUGGCUGCCUGGGGAGCGUGGCCCCCUGUAACGGAGGGCGAGAGCCACCUCUCCGCACCUGAGUGGGAAAUGGAGCUCGCCGGACCCCAAGGCCACCCUGUAAGCAGGGUAGUGCCGUUUCCCUGCCCCUCUUCCUCCCCCGGCCCCUCGGCAUCGUUGCCUGAUGGUGGCUUGUCAAUGCGACGGCCCCGUACUCGGGGUGUGCGUCACGGCAUUUGGCCGUUGGCUUUACCUGAGAAGCCCCUUGGCACGUUGAGGUCUGUGGCCUCCGUGCAGCCUAGGGACAGGUCACAGGCUCUUGUCUGUUGCCCGUGGUUGUGGGUUUAUUCCCAGGUGUUGGCUGUGCUGCGUUGUCCUUCCCUUCUGGAAAGUCGUGCCUGUGUGUGCGUGUUCCCCUUCCUUUCCUUGAUUGUGUUUGUGGAGUGGUUGAGCGGCUGUGCUUUCCCUUUAGGCCUCCACAAAGAUGGCUGCAGCUUAGCUUUGACUUCCCAGGGGGGAAUGGAGGACUUUGGUGCAUGCCACAAAAGGGGUGUUCCCUCUUAGUCCUGCGAGCGCAGCGAGUGUCCUGUCUUCCUACUAUUUUCCUUAGUGCAGAUCAGAGCCACACGGUAGUUCUGUGGCCAAGGCCUCCCUGUAGCCAGGGCUUGGGCCUGUCCUUGCGUGGCCGCCUGUCCUGCUGGCGGCGGUGACAGCCCCGUACUCGGGGUGUGUGUCCCAAGCUUCGGAGCCCUCUGUCCCUGAGCAGCCCGCCCGCCCUGUAAUCAGGUGUGGGGAGGCUGCAGCGUUGCAGCCGGCUGCUUUAGCCAUCCAGCUGGUGGGAGUGACCCCUCCCUGUCCCGUCAGAGGGUGCAGGUUGAGGUGCUGUUUGUGUGUGGGGUGACCUCCCCGCUCGGUGGGUCGAGGUAGCUCCCUGGGCUUCCAAAGACGAGACGUUGGUGAUGUUCUGCUGCUGCCGGGCGGGCCAGCCUGUAACUCAGGCGUUGGCGGGAGCCUCGUGCUCCGCGGGGCUUCUUGAAGAGGGUGAGGUGUGGGGGUACCGUCCUGUAGGCAGGGCUGUGUGUGCCCCCUGUGUGUGCUUGGUGAGCUGCGUUCUGAGAGACCCCCUGUACUCAGGUGGGAAUGUGGCCCCGGCCUUUCAGAGGCGCGGGGCCGUGAGAUGUGGGGUGGGGCUUGCGCCCUCCCUGGAAUCGGGGCUGGGAUCCCGACUGCGGCCUUUGGCCGUGCCGCCCCGCUGCCUGGCUGCUGAGAGUUGCUCCUGCCGCUGGGGGGGAAACCGAGCUCUGUGGCUCCAGGGGUGUUGUCCACCCGCCUGUAAUCAGGGUCUGGGUGCGUGAGCGUUUGUGCUCUGCUGGCAGCCUGUGUGGGGUGACCGCCCCGCUAGCGGGGUGUGGGUCGAGGUGCCCCGGACUGGGAGAGAAGGAGCCUCCCUCGGCCGUAGGGAUGGGGGCUGCCCUGUAAGUCAGGGAGCAUCUGUGUCCCGGAGUCCCAGGCCCUUUUCAAUGGCGGCAGUGGCCGGGGGUCCCCUGUAAGCAGGGAAGCUGACUCUUUGGCUGCUGCUUUUUGUGUGCCCAGCCCCAUUUGCCCAGUCUGCCCGCCUCUGUGAUCCCCCGCAGCACUGGCUGGAAGUCCGCCGCGUGUCAGUGAGGAGCUGCUGCAGAAGGAAGAAGAAGAAGCAGCGUGGGACCUGGGAGGCAGGAGCAAGCAAGAAGAGGAAGCGGAAGCGUGCAGAUGCGGGGGGGAAGGAGAGAGGCUCCCUGGGCAAAGCACCUGUCCCGUUAGCAGGGGCACAGUCACGUUUGAGUUGAGAGCUGCCGGCGCCUUUGGUGACCAGGCUGGCGUUGUGCUGGGCGACCUCCCCGUAAGCGGGGCUCGGGUCUUUGCUGUAGUUGGCCUUUUGCCUUGCUGCUCCUUUGGCUGCCUGGGGAGCGUGGCCCCCUGUAACGGAGGGCGAGAGCCACCUCUCCGCACCUGAGUGGGAAAUGGAGCUCGCCGGACCCCAAGGCCACCCUGUAAGCAGGGUAGUGCCGUUUCCCUGCCCCUCUUCCUCCCCCGGCCCCUCGGCAUCGUUGCCUGAUGGUGGCUUGUCAAUGCGACGGCCCCGUACUCGGGGUGUGUGUCCCAAGCUUUGGCGCCCUCUGUCCCUGAGCAGCCCGCCCGCCCUGUAAUCAGGUGUGGGGAGGCUGCAGCGUUGCAGCCGGCUGCUUUAGCCAUCCAGCUGGUGGGAGUGACCCCUCCCUGUCCCGUCAGAGGGUGCAGGUUGAGGUGCUGUUUGUGUGUGGGGUGACCUCCCCGCUCGGUGGGUCGAGGUAGCUCCCUGGGCUUCCAAAGACGAGACGUUGGUGAUGUUCUGCUGCUGCCGGGCGGGCCAGCCUGUAACUCAGGCGUUGGCGGGAGCCUCGUGCUCCGCGGGGCUUCUUGAAGAGGGUGAGGUGUGGGGGUACCGUCCUGUAGGCAGGGCUGUGUGUGCCCCCCGUGUGUGCUUGGUGAGCUGCGUUCUGAGAGACCCCCUGUACUCAGGUGGGAAUGUGGCCCCGGCCUUUCAGAGGCGCGGGGCCGUGAGAUGCGGGGUGGGGCUUGCGCCCUCCCUGGAAUCGGGGCUGGGAUCCCGACUGCGGCCUUUGGCCGUGCCGCCCCGCUGCCUGGCUGCUGAGAGUUGCUCCUGCCGCUGGGGGGGAAACCGAGCUCUGUGGCUCCAGGGGUGUUGUCCACCCGCCUGUAAUCAGGGUCUGGGUGCGUGAGCGUUUGUGCUCUGCUGGCAGCCUGUGUGGGGUGACCGCCCCGCUAGCGGGGUGUGGGUCGAGGUGCCCCGGACUGGGAGAGAAGGAGCCUCCCUCGGCCGUAGGGAUGGGGGCUGCCCUGUAAGUCAGGGAGCAUCUGUGUCCCGGAGUCCCAGGCCCUUUUCAAUGGCGGCAGUGGCCGGGGGUCCCCUGUAAGCAGGGAAGCUGACUCUUUGGCUGCUGCUUUUUGUGUGCCCAGCCCCAUUUGCCCAGUCUGCCCGCCUCUGUGAUCCCCCGCAGCACUGGCUGGAAGUCCGCCGCGUGUCAGUGAGGAGCUGCUGCAGAAGGAAGAAGAAGAAGCGGCGUGGGGACCUGGGAGGCAGGAGCAAGCAAGAAGAGGAAGCGGAAGCGUGCAGAUGCGGGGGGGAAGGAGAGAGGCUCCCUGGGCAAAGCACCUGUCCCGUUAGCAGGGGCACAGUCACGUUUGAGUUGAGAGCUGCCGGCGCCUUUGGUGACCAGGCUGGCGUUGUGCUGGGCGACCUCCCCGUAAGCGGGGCUCGGGUCUUUGCUGUAGUUGGCCUUUUGCCUUGCUGCUCCUUUGGCUGCCUGGGGAGCGUGGCCCCCUGUAACGGAGGGCGAGAGCCACCUCUCCGCACCUGAGUGGGAAAUGGAGCUCGCCGGACCCCAAGGCCACCCUGUAAGCAGGGUAGUGCCGUUUCCCUGCCCCUCUUCCUCCCCCGGCCCCUCGGCAUCGUUGCCUGAUGGUGGCUUGUCAAUGCGACGGCCCCGUACUCGGGGUGUGCGUCACGGCAUUUGGCCGUUGGCUUUAUCUGAGAAGCCCCUUGGCACGUUGAGGUCCGUGGCCUCCGUGCAGCCUAGGGACAGGUCACAGGCUCUUGUCUGUUGCCCGUGGUUGUGGGUUUAUUCCCAGGUGUUGGCUGUGCUGCGUUGUCCUUCCCUUCUGGAAAGUUGUGCCUGUGUGUGCGUGUUCCCCUUCCUUUCCUUGUUUGUGUUUGUGGAGUGGUUGAGCGGCUGUGCUUUCCCUUUAGGCCUCCACAAAGAUGGCUGCAGCUUAGCUUUGACUUCCCAGGGGGGAAUGGAGGACUUUGGUGCAUGCCGCAAAAGGGGUGUUCCCUCUUAGUCCUGCGAGCGCAGCGAGUGUCCUGUCUUCCUACUAUUUUCCUUAGUGCAGAUCAGAGCCACACGGUAGUUCUGUGGCCAAGGCCUCCCUGUAGCCAGGGCUUGGGCCUGUCCUUGCGUGGCUGCCUGUCCUGCUGGCGGCGGUGACAGCCCCGUACUCGGGGUGUGUGUCCCAAGCUUCGGAGCCCUCUGUCCCUGAGCAGCCCGCCCGCCCUGUAAUCAGGUGUGGGGAGGCUGCAGCGUUGCAGCCGGCUGCUUUAGCCAUCCAGCUGGUGGGAGUGACCCCUCCCUGUCCCGUCAGAGGGUGCAGGUUGAGGUGCUGUUUGUGUGUGGGGUGACCUCCCCGCUCGGUGGGUCGAGGUAGCUCCCUGGGCUUCCAAAGACGAGACGUUGGUGAUGUUCUGCUGCUGCCGGGCGGGCCAGCCUGUAACUCAGGCGUUGGCGGGAGCCUCGUGCUCCGCGGGGCUUCUUGAAGAGGGUGAGGUGUGGGGGUACCGUCCUGUAGGCAGGGCUGUGUGUGCCCCCCGUGUGUGCUUGGUGAGCUGCGUUCUGAGAGACCCCCUGUACUCAGGUGGGAAUGUGGCCCCGGCCUUUCAGAGGCGCGGGGCCGUGAGAUGCGGGGUGGGGCUUGCGCCCUCCCUGGAAUCGGGGCUGGGAUCCCGACUGCGGCCUUUGGCCGUGCCGCCCCGCUGCCUGGCUGCUGAGAGUUGCUCCUGCCGCUGGGGGGGAAACCGAGCUCUGUGGCUCCAGGGGUGUUGUCCACCCGCCUGUAAUCAGGGUCUGGGUGCGUGAGCGUUUGUGCUCUGCUGGCAGCCUGUGUGGGGUGACCGCCCCGCUAGCGGGGUGUGGGUCGAGGUGCCCCGGACUGGGAGAGAAGGAGCCUCCCUCGGCCGUAGGGAUGGGGGCUGCCCUGUAAGUCAGGGAGCAUCUGUGUCCCGGAGUCCCAGGCCCUUUUCAAUGGCGGCAGUGGCCGGGGGUCCCCUGUAAGCAGGGAAGCUGACUCUUUGGCUGCUGCUUUUUGUGUGCCCAGCCCCAUUUGCCCAGUCUGCCCGCCUCUGUGAUCCCCCGCAGCACUGGCUGGAAGUCCGCCGCGUGUCAGUGAGGAGCUGCUGCAGAAGGAAGAAGAAGAAGCAGCGUGGGACCUGGGAGGCAGGAGCAAGCAAGAAGAGGAAGCGGAAGCGUGCAGAUGCGGGGGGGAAGGAGAGAGGCUCCCUGGGCAAAGCACCUGUCCCGUUAGCAGGGGCACAGUCACGUUUGAGUUGAGAGCUGCCGGCGCCUUUGGUGACCAGGCUGGCGUUGUGCUGGGCGACCUCCCCGUAAGCGGGGCUCGGGUCUUUGCUGUAGUUGGCCUUUUGCCUUGCUGCUCCUUUGGCUGCCUGGGGAGCGUGGCCCCCUGUAACGGAGGGCGAGAGCCACCUCUCCGCACCUGAGUG